rnacentral:rRNA from 1 species
AUUCCAGCUCCAAUAGCGUAUAUUAAAGUUGUUGCAGUUAAAAAGCUCGUAGUUGGAUUUGUGGCUGUCUCGAGCGGCCUGACACCUAGUGUUAGUGCUUGCUUGAGUCGCCAUCCUUGGGUGGAACCUGUGUGGCAUUAGGUUGUCGUGCAGGGGAUGCCCAUCGUUUACUGUGAAAAAAUUAGAGUGUUCAAAGCAGGCUUAUGCCGUUGAAUAUAUUAGCAUGGAAUAAUAAGAUAGGACCUUGGUACUAUUUUGUUGGUUUGCGCACCAAGGUAAUGAUUAAUAGGGACAGUUGGGGGUAUUCGUAUUUCAUUGUCAGAGGUGAAAUUCUUGGAUUUUUGAAAGACGAACUACUGCGAAAGCAUUUACCAAGGAUGUUUUCAUCA